rnacentral:RNase_P_RNA from 1 species
GGAGUUAGCUAGGUAAUCGCUGCGCAAGCAGAGGAAAGUCCGGGCUCCAUAGGGCAGAGUGCCAGGUAACGCCUGGGGGGCGCGAGCCUACGGCAAGUGCAACAGAAAGGAUACCGCCGCAUACGUGAGUGUGAGGUAAGGGUGAAAUGGUGCGGUAAGAGCGCACCGCGUGACUGGUAACAGGAACGGCAAGGUAAACCCCACUCGGAGCAAGACCAAAUAGGAACUCUUAUGCUGUUGCCCGCAGUUGAGUUCGGGUAGGUCGCUAUAGGUGUCUGGCGACAGACAUCACAGAUGAAUGAUUAUCCUCGACAGAACCCGGCUUAUUGCUAACUCCCUUA